rnacentral:lncRNA from 1 species
CUUAGAGUACAGACUGAAGGUAAUGGAUUUUUACCUCCAAACUCUGCUUGUCUUGUCAUCCUUUCAGCUGUGGUUAUGAUUAAUAUUACUGUUAUUAUCUCGGCUUACUGCACACUGUGUGGCGUAUGACUGGAGAGAUUCAUUUCGAGUGUCGAUGUACAGUGAACUCAAAAUUUUAAUUAAGCAUUACAGUGAUGUUUCCCAUAUAUAUGGAAUAUGUUUGAACUUUUCAUAUCCUGCAGGUGUGGAUGUCUUUUUAUCUCCGUGGAAUACUCAAAAUGCCAAAAUCAAGUACUACAAGUAUGUAAGUAAAACAGCUCCUUUGACAUUACUGGAAGUACAAGGAAUGGCAGCUCAAACGUGCAUCACCCACCACAGCCCAUCCUGCAGCAGCCUGUCUCCAGCCGCACCUACCCCGCCUACCAUCCAAGGACCUUUAUGUGAAGGCAGCACUUGGACCCACAAAACAAUUUGGCUUGUUCUGCAGUUGUCAAUAUGA